AAGGAUCAUUAAAGAAUCACCCCGUUUUUUGAAAUGGGUUCUAUUCCCAAACCGUGUAUACAUACCUUUGUUGCUUUGGCAGGCCGCCUUUUAGGCGUCGGCUCCGGCUGACUGCGCCUGCCAGAGGACCCAAACUCUUUUGUUUAGUGAUGUCUGAGUACUAUAUAAUAGUUAAAACUUUCAACAACGGAUCUCUUGGUUCUGGCAUCGAUGAAGAACGCAGCGUAAUGCGAUAAGUAAUGUGAAUUGCAGAAUUCAGUGAAUCAUCGAAUCUUUGAACGCACAUUGCGCCCCUUGGUAUUCCGAGGGGCAUGCCUGUUCGAGCGUCAUUAUAACCACUCAAGCCUCGGCUUGGUCUUGGGGUUCGCGGUCUCGCGGCCCUUAAAAUCAGUGGCGGUGCCGUCUGGCUCUAAGCGUAGUAAUUCUCUCGCUAUAGGGUCCAGGCGACCACCUGCCAGAACCCCCCAUUCUUUACGGUUGACCUCGGAUCAGGUAGGGAUACCCGCUGAACUUAAGCAUAUCAAUAAGCGGAGGAAAAGAAACCAACAGGGAUUGCCUCAGUAACGGCGAGUGAAGCGGCAACAGCUCAAAUUUGAAAUCUGGCUCUUUCAGGGUCCGAGUUGUAAUUUAA
rnacentral:rRNA from 1 species